rnacentral:rRNA from 1 species
UACGUAGGGUGCGAGCGUUAAUCGGAAUUACUGGGCGUAAAGGGCGCGUAGGCGGCCCCUUUUGUCGCGUGUGAAAGCCCCGGGCUCAACCUGGGAGGUGCGCGCGAAACGGGGGGGCUUGAGUUCGGGAGAGGAGAGUGGAAUUCCCAGUGUAGAGGUGAAAUUCGUAGAUAUUGGGAAGAACACCGGUGGCGAAGGCGGCUCUCUGGACCGAGACUGACGCUGAGGCGCGAAAGCGUGGGGAGCAAACAGG